rnacentral:rRNA from 1 species
GACGAACACUGGCGGCGUGCCUAAUACAUGCAAGUCGACCUUAGUUGCGAACGGGCGAGUAACACGUGGGUAUCCUGCCCAUCAGUAGGGGAUAACAUUUGGAAACAGGUGCUAUUACCGACUACGGUUGGAUGGACCCUCGGUGCAUUAGCUAGUUGGGGAGGUAACGGCUCACCAAGGCCACGAUGCAUAGCCGGCCUGAGAGGAUGAUCGGCCACAUUGGAACUGAGACACGGCCCAGACUCCUACGGGAGGCAGCAGUAGGGAAUAUUCGGCAAUGGACGAAAGUCUGACCGAGCAACGCCGCGUGAGUGAAGAAGGUUUUCGGAUCGUAAAGCACUGUUAUUAGGGAAGCGGUAUCUAAAGAGAAAGCAACGGCUAACUACGUGCCAGCAGCCGCGGUAAUAC